rnacentral:lncRNA from 1 species
UCCACCCACAUGGUCUGCACUAAUGUUCCGUGGGUGGGCAUUCUGGUAGGUAAAUGAUCAGAAAGACCUUUGACUUCACUUCAAUGCCAAGUGUGGAUUUUGCUUCUUGGAUUGAGAACUUUUUAGUGAGUCAGAGAAUAGGUAGUUGCAUUUAAUCCUAUGUAAAUCAGCCACAGGAAACUUAUUCUGUAGUCCCUCUUUCUUACGUCCCGUUGGUCUCCAUAUUCCACCCAUAUGGCGAAGCUGUACUGACCUUGUCUGUAUGGGAACAUUUGUCUUUGGCUAUGAUAUGCCCACUUAGUAGACACGGGUUGAACACACUGAAUAGAAAUCAAGUAUGUUAAUGAACCACUGUUUGCACAGUAAAUACUAUUGUCUUUUCCUUACAAAUGAGGUAUUGACUCAGCUACUGUGGGAGUUGCUUUCCUAUUUAUGAGGUUAGAAUUUUACAUAGGCUGUUCCUCAUUGCUGGUGAUCUCACAAUCACUUGGAGAGACCCUGGCUGGGGCUUAGGAAUGUAAUUUGCACCUGGAGUCUUUAAUAUUGUCCAGGUAUUUCUUGUUGAUGGGUUGAUGUAAAGUGGUAAAACAGCAGAUACAUAACGUUGCUUUUAGGAAAGCCUCAUGUAAUCAUUUACAAGUGAACCAGAAUGAACUACCUCCGACUGCGCCCUCUGAGCUGACAACCAUCCUCACAAUGGCAAUGAGAGAGAGCUGUCUUCCUGGUUCAGAGGUGGUUGUUUUUGCUGUGGCCCACAUAAGAGGUGGAGGAGUUCUGCAGACCCUGUUCAUGAAGGUUCCAUCUUUACAACUAACCCUCACCCAAGGCCCUACUUCCAAAUCCCAGCAGAGCGGAGACUGGAUUUUAACAGGAAUGAAUCAGGUCCAAAGCCCCUCCCACCAGCUCAGGUCAUCUCUGGCUACCAAAUGCAUUUCGGUUACAAGGUUAACAUCAGCUAAGCUUUUGAUUUUCACAAUUUUCACAUCUCCGACCUGUGAAUAA